GAAGGAGUCGAGAAGAUUAGCUGGUACAAAAUUUUUCGUUGGUUUAUCAAAAGAAGCGAAAUCACAUUCCUGUACCUGUUGAUAUGUAAAGGAAUUUUGGAGGCUGUUCUGGGAAGAAGAUCUGUCAGGCCUCCAUACCUUAUCAUAUCAAUAACGCCGUUUUUACAUAUAAAUUGGUAACACGGAGAUUACUAUUAAUCACAAUAAUUCAUUGGUGCAGUUGGAUAGGAAAUGAUGAAUGAAUAAUUUUCAUCUUGGACUUCAAUCAGUUGGAUCCUAAGGUCAGACCGAAUCUAUUUUUUAUUUCAUAUGGAAAUUGUGCAAGGACGUAGGAGAAAUUUCCCCGUGUACCGUUAGAAUUCCAGCAUAUAUCCCUUCCUGGAUUAUUUAACCUUCCCUCCCUGAUUUUGCAAAAGGCGAGCUCUGGAUUAGAAAAGA